CGAACCGCACACUCUGCAGUCUUAUCAUGGCUGAUAAGUAUUCCAGUGGGACUAGCGAGGAAGAUAGUGCCAGGGGUGGUAAAGUCUGUUAACCCUCUCUUAUUCUGUUAUAUGUGAUAAAGUUGUCAUAAUAAUUUAUGUAUUUGAAAUAUAAUACCCUUAUUUAAGUGGGUGCGAUAAUUCUUGUUAAAAUGCGAUAAUUUCAACGUGCCAUGUGCGAUAAUUUGGGUUUGAGAAUCUGGCAACGCUGACGGUGAUCGCUCUGGCCGUAAUCAGCUGACAACAACAAAAAUGGCGUCCAGGCAAACUAGAGACUUCGAAGGUUUUAUUACUACGCCAAAAGGACUGCAGAAACUUGACAUGGAUGCAAGAAUCCAGGUGCUGGAGAGUAAGUUCCUAAGCAUUUUGACAAUAGAAGAAAAACUGGAUAGAGUUCUAGCCGAGAAUGAUUCAUUUAAAAAAGAGAUCUACUUGUUAACGCUAGAGAAUAAAGAGCUGUUGAAGGAAAAAGUAGAGAUGGA